rnacentral:RNase_P_RNA from 1 species
UUACCUGCAAAAAGCAGUCGCUGGUAGCAAACGCUACUAGAGGAAAGUCCGGACACGUUCUUCAAGUACGAACAGUGCAAGAGGAAAAGGUAGCGGGUAACACCCGUCCGAGUAAUUCGAGGGAUGCGAACAGAGACGCUCGAGCCGAGAGGCGAGAGCACCCGAAAGGGUGAGCCAGUAUGGAAACAUAGUGGGUGCAACGGCAAAAUUCCUAUCUGCGUGCAAGGUCGUGUCCAGCCGUAAUUCUCAAUUGAAAUUACUGCUGGAAGAACCGCUUGAGAUGAUCGGUAACGAUCAUCCCAGAUACAUGACUGCUCACGGUUUGCCGCAAGGCGAUCUGGACAGAAUCCGGCUUAUAAUGCAGAAAACAAA